UACAGAGGGGGCAAGCGUUAUUCGGAAUUAUUGGGCGUAAAGCGCACGUAGGCGGCUUUCUAAGUCAGGGGUGAAAUCCUGGAGCUCAACUCCAGAACUGCCUUUGAUACUGGGAAGCUUGAGUCCGGAAGAGGUGAGUGGAACUGCGAGUGUAGAGGUGAAAUGCGCAGAUAUCAGGAGGAACACCGAUGGCGAAGGCAGGUCUCUGGGCAUUAACUGACGCUGGAGGAGCGAAAGCAUGGGGAGCGAACAGG
rnacentral:rRNA from 1 species